rnacentral:tRNA from 1 species
UGAACUGUGGUGUAAUGGUAACACAGCAGAUUUUGGUUCUGUCGUUCCAGGUUCGAGUCCUGGCAGCUCAA